UACAGACGGUCCAAACGUUAUUCGGAAUUACUGGGCUUAAAGAGUUAGUAGGUGGCCAACUAAGUCAGACGUGAAAUCCCUCAGCUUAACUGGGGAACUGCGUCUGAGACUGAUUGGCUCGAGGACAGGAGAGGAACGCGGAAUUCCAGGUGUAGCGGUGAAAUGCGUAGAUAUCUGGAGGAACACCGGUGGCGAAGGCGGCGUUCUGGACUGUUUCUGACACUGAAUAACGAAAGCCAGGGGAGCAAACGGG
rnacentral:rRNA from 1 species